GCCCGGGUAGCUCAAUUGGUCAGAGCGUGCGGCUUUUACGGUGCAGCAGCAUCUCAAGUAAACCGCAAGGCUGGGGGUUCGAGACCCCCUUCGGGCG
rnacentral:tRNA from 1 species